UUCUUCAGAGAAGUCCUUUGGAAUAACUGUUAGUCUCUGGAUAAAGGACGUCACCCUGUUGCCUGGCCUCGUUUCCUCAGAAAGUCAAACAGUCUCCAGUAAUCAGGUUGCAUUUGGUUACUUCUGGUACUCCUCUAAACUCAGGGUGAAGAGGAUUUUGUCGAGCAUGAGAGAAACUGGAGAGUCAGGUUCAUGAAUACAUGCUAAAGUAUUUUUCACUCAACUUGUGCCAGACGAUGUCCUUGCUUGCACAUCUUCUGAGGAAUCAGGAAAUGUGGAAUGGUGACGAAAACAAGUAGAGGGUGCUGCAGUCAAGUUGAUAGGGGACACAAACUAAGGAGUACAUAUGAUAUCCACUUGUGAAUUCAUCAACCCGCUUGAAAGCUCAAGUGUGAAAACUCACUGAUUAAAAGCAGCAGAUCAAUGGGGAUCGCCAGAUGUUACCCGAAAACAGAGGUCCCAACACAAAUGUAUUUUCUCGUCUGGAUAUAUUUAGAAGAAAGGUCUGUAGGAGGAGGCCUACCAGUGGAAGUAUCAAUUUCCUUUUUGACACGCCCAAUUGAACAUUUUUCUCCCAGAAGCUGGUCUGGAAAUAAGCUGUUAUCCCAAAAACAAAGGGCUUGGCAACGGAUCCUCAGAAAAUGAAAUUUUCUCCCAAACACUGUUGCUGGUUGACUUGUGUGGAAAAUUCUGAUCAGAAUGGCUGCAUGGCAUGCACCGUCAUAGAGAAGGGCAUGACAUUGAUUGGUUGUCAUGACAAAUGGUUUACCAGUCACCGAGGGUCAUCCAUCAAGGGGGUAUUCUUGGUCUUCAAGGCAACCUGAACCUGCACCAAUUUGUACAGUUUUUCUCUCAAGGCAUAUGUGAAACUCAACAAAAAGGCACGUUGAGAUGCUCUUGGCAUGCAGUUCUAGGACACCCAUGCUUCUUUUCCAAGUGGAGACUGAAUACACUUUUAUCCUGCUCUAAGGAAAAGAGAGAAUCAUGGGUGUUUAAUAAUAGUCAAUGUAUCUGUGGUUCACGAUGUGAAUGGCAGUGUCCUAAGCUGGGCACCUUCUGGUAACUUAGAGAACUUGGAAUUGUGCCACAGAGCAAAGAGAAUCCACUGGUCUCCUGGUGAGAUGGGACAAACAGGUCAAUAAUGACUAUCCAACAUUCUCAAACCACCACCUUUCUUCAGAACUCAAGAUAUGAGACCACACAUAGGUGAAACCCCUGGCAAAAUGCCGCAUAAUCAAGCUUUGCUAUGGAAAUCCAUGUUUGAGAAUGAGGAACUCUUUGUGACCUGAGAUAUGAAGGAAGGCAUGUCCAAAAUGUAUAAAAAAUACCUUGUCUGGACUUGACUCCAUUCAUGGAGAAACUUCUGUUUCAGCCUACUGGACGGAUUCCACUUGAGCAGGGAUCCCUUCUUCAGAGAAGUCCUUGGGAAUAACUGUUAGUCUUUGGAUGAAGGACAUCACACAGGAUCUUUUUCUUCCCGAAGCGGGCCUGGAAAUAAGCUGCUAUCCCUAAAACAAAGGAUUGUAAUGAGGCAGCUGGCCACGGAUCCGCUGAAAAUGAUAUAUUCUCCCAAACGCUGCUCCUGGUUGACUUGUGUGGAAAAUUCUGCUCAGAAUGGCUGCAAGGCAUGCAUCGUCGUAGAGGAGAGCAUGACUCUGAUUGGUUGUCAUGACCAAUGGUUUACUAGUCACUCAUGUUCAUCAAUCAAGGAGGUGUUCUUCAGCUUGGAGGCAGGCCAGACCAUCACUAAAUGAAAUAUUCUGCCCAUGCUGGAUGGAUGGCAUACACCAUAAGAGGGGAGAGCAUGACUGGGAUUGGGAGUCGUGACCAUCAUUCAUAAGUUCCUAUGAGCCACUUAGGCAUGUGAACUCUAAGUUCUGGAGCCAAACAGAACUCUAAACCGACAUGAGUACUUUUCUCUUGCGACCCAUAUAAGACUGGGACAAAGAGAACCCGCAGUUGCUCUAAGACUGGUGUUUGAUGAUUUCCAGGGUCUCCUCUAAACUCAGGGAGAAGAAGAUUUUGUCAAGCAAGGGAGAAACUAGAGAGGCAGGCUCAUGAAUACAUGCUAAAGGAUUUUUUCUCAACUUGUGCCAGUCGAUGCGCAUCUUCUGGGGAAUCAGGGAAUGUGGAAUGGUGAUGAAAACACGUAGAGGAUGCUGCACUCAUGUUGAGAGGGAACACAAACUAAGAAGUAGAUAUGAUAUCCAUUUGUGAAUUCAUCAACACACUUGAAAGCCAAGCGGUGAAAAAACUCACUGAUUAAAAGCAGCAGGUUAGAUACAAUCAUUCCAAAUAUUGCUCAAGAAACCCAUUUAUUACACUAUAGACCACUUGAUAGCUUGGUAUAUGAGAGGAUAUGCAUCCAAUAUGUAUCACACUGAACCCUGGGUAUGCUGUGUACUUUGGCUCCUGAUCCAUGGGGAUCGCACACUUCACCAGAAAAAAGAAGUCCCAACUGAAAUGUAUAGUCUCAUCAGGAUGUUUUUGGAAGAAAGGUCUUUAGGAGGAGGCCUCCCAGUGGAAGUAUCAGUUUAUGUUUUAACUCACCCGAUUUGACUCCAUUUCUCCCAGAAGCUUGCCUGGAAAUAGGCUGCUAUCCCAAAAAUAAAGACUGUAAUGAGGUGGCUGGACACAGAUCCUCUGGAAAUAAAAUAUUCUCCCAAAUGCUGUUGACUUGUGUGGAAAAUUCUGCUCAGAAUGGCUGCAUGGCAUACACUGUCUUAGAGGAGUGCAUGACUUCGAUUGGUUGUCAUGAGCAAUGGUUUAUCAGUCACUGAGGGUCAUCAAUCAAGGAGUUGUUCUUGGUAUUGGAGGCAAGCUGGACCUUCUCCAUUGCAUGCAGUUUUUCUCUCAAAGCCUGGGUGAAACUGGAGAAAAAGGCGCCUUGAGAUGCUUUUCAUAUGCUGUUCUAGGAGUCCCAUGUUUCUUUUCCAAAAGGAGGGCAAAUAGACAUUUGUCCUGCUCUAAGGAAAAGAGAGAAUCAGACUUGUUGAAUAAUAGUCAAUGUAUCUGUAGCUCAUGAUGUGAAUGGACAUUCCUCAGCUGGGUGCCUUCUGGUAACUUAGAGAGCUAGGAAUUGUGGCACAGACCAAAGAAAAUCCACUGCUCUCCUGGUGAGAGGGAGCACACAAGUCAAUAAUGACUGUCCAACAUUUUUCAAACCC